UACGUAGGGUCCGAGCGUUGUCCGGAAUUACUGGGCGUAAAGCGCGCGCAGGCGGCUUCCCAAGCGCCACGUGAAAUCCCCGGGCUCAACCUGGGAAUGGCAUUGGAUACUGGCAGGCUAGAGUGCGGUAGAGGGUGGUGGAAUUCCCGGUGUAGCAGUGAAAUGCGUAGAGAUCGGGAGGAACAUCUGUGGCGAAGGCGGCCACCUGGACCAGCACUGACACUGAGGCACGAAAGCGUGGGGAGCAAACAGG
rnacentral:rRNA from 1 species